CCUACGGGUGGCUGCAGUGGGGAAUAUUGGACAAUGGGCGAAAGCCUGAUCCAGCCAUGCCGCGUGUGUGAAGAAGGCCUUCGGGUUGUAAAGCACUUUCAGUGGGGAAGAAAGUCUUGGGGCUAAUACCCUCGAGGAAGGACAUCACCCACAGAAGAAGCACCGGCUAACUCCGUGCCAGCAGCCGCGGUAAUACGGAGGGUGCGAGCGUUAAUCGGAAUUACUGGGCGUAAAGCGCGCGUAGGCGGUCUGAUAAGCCGGUUGUGAAAGCCCCGGGCUCAACCUGGGAACGGCAUCCGGAACUGUCAGGCUAGAGUGCAGGAGAGGAAGGUAGAAUUCCCGGUGUAGCGGUGAAAUGCGUAGAGAUCGGGAGGAAUACCAGUGGCGAAGGCGGUCUUCUGGACUGACACUGACGCUGAGGUGCGAAAGCGUGGGUAGCAAACAGGAUUAGAUACCCCGGUAGUC
rnacentral:rRNA from 1 species